rnacentral:rRNA from 1 species
GAGCGAACGCUGGCGGCAGGCUUAACACAUGCAAGUCGAACGCAUCACUUCGGUGGUGAGUGGCAGACGGGUGAGUAACACGUGGGAACGUACCCUUCGAUCUGGGAUAACUUCGGGAAACUGGAGCUAAUACCGGAUACGCCCUUUUGGGGAAAGGUUUACUGUCGAAGGAUCGGCCCGCGUCUGAUUAGCUAGUUGGUGGGGUAACGGCCUACCAAGGCGACGAUCAGUAGCUGGUCUGAGAGGAUGAUCAGCCACACUGGGACUGAGACACGGCCCAGACUCCUACGGGAGGCAGCAGUGGGGAAUAUUGGACAAUGGGCGCAAGCCUGAUCCAGCCAUGCCGCGUGAGUGAUGAAGGCCUUAGGGUUGUAAAGCUCUUUUGUCCGGGACGAUAAUGACGGUACCGGAAGAAUAAGCCCCGGCUAACUUCGUG